GAUGAACGCUGGCGGCGUGCCUAACACAUGCAAGUCGAGCGAGAAGCUUGUAAUUGACACUUCGGUUGAUUUUAUAAGUGGAAAGCGGCGGACGGGUGAGUAACGCGUAGGCAACCUGCCCCAUACAGAGGGAUAGCAUCGGGAAACUGGUAUUAAAACCUCAUACUGCAUCAUUGACACAUGUCAAAGAUGUGAAAGAUUUAUCGGUAUGGGAUGGGCCUGCGUCUGAUUAGUCAGUUGGUGAGGUAACAGCUCACCAAGGCGAUGAUCAGUAGCCGACCUGAGAGGGUGAUCGGCCACAUUGGAACUGAGACAGGUCCAAGCUCCUACGGGAGGCAGCAGUGGGGAAUAUUGCACAAUGGGCGAAAGCCUGAUGCAGCAACGCCGCGUGAGCGAUGAAGGCCUUUGGGUCGUAAAGCUCUGUCCUAGGGGAGGAAAAAAUGACGGUACCCUUGGAGGAAGCCCCGGCUAACUACGUGCCAGCAGCCGCGGUAA
rnacentral:rRNA from 1 species